rnacentral:rRNA from 1 species
CAGCCGCCACGGUAAUACAGAGGGUGCAAGCGUCAAUCGGAUUUACUGGGCGUAAAGCGUGCGUAGGUGGCUGUUUAAGUCGGAUGUGAAAGCCCUGGGCUUAACCUGGGAACUGCAUUCGAUACUGGAUAGCUAGAGAUCGGUAGAGGGCAGCGGAAUUCCGGGUGUAGCGGUGAAAUGCGUAGAUAUCCGGAGGAACACCGAUGGCGAAGGCAACUGCCGGGCCUGAUCUGACACUGAGGCACGAAAGCGUGGGUAGCAAACAGGAUUAGAUACCCGCGUAGUCCCUGUCUCUUAUACA